rnacentral:lncRNA from 1 species
AAAAAAUAAAGGUAUCAACACCAAAUUAUCAUCAAUUUAAUACUAUACUUAAAGAAACUAAAAAUAUGUACAAUGUAUUAAAAUUUUAUCUAUUGACAAAUCUAAAUUUUAACAAUAUUGUUGUUUAUUUAAAAUUCAUAUUUUAUCAGUAUAUGUGAUUGUCGUUUUACUUAUUCUGGAAGAAACCUUCUAGAAUAAAUCCAUAUAGGGGAAUUCAAAUACAGGGAAAGACCAUGUAUAUGAGCUCCAAUUGUUAGGGUCACACAAUUAAUCGCUACUGCUGAAUGCUUACCAUACCGAAGAACACUUAACUUUUCCUCCUAUUGUCCACUCUCUCAUAUCAAUACGAUAACAACCACGACAUCAAUUUCAGUAUCCUAUGUAAUUCACAAACACACAAGCAUAAUCCAAACCCUGAAAUGAAAAACUUCCAAUCCACAGAAUUUGAUCAAGACAAAUCCUUGGAUUACAAUUUCUCUCUACUGAACUUUCAACCUUGCAAUAAACAGUGACUGGAAACUUCCAUACAUCAUCAAUCUUUCACAAUAAUUGAUAAACAGUGAUCCAUAAAUAACUUCAUAAAUCAAACAUUGAUUCAUUAAAUCAAUUCUCUUCACUAGAAUCAACACUAACACAAAAGAAACAAAAAAAAUUAAGAAGAAGAGAUAGCACCAAGCUUAUUUCCAGCUCAGUACUAUCACAGUCAAGCAUUUUCUUCCUCUCUCCCAUCCUCCUUAUACUAUCUUGAGAUACCAACUCCUAUACUAUGGAUGAUAACUACUUUUCUUGACUAUUCAUACAUUCUACCUGUUGAACCACCUUUUCAGCAGUUAUCUAUCCAUAUUUACACUAUAUACUAAGUAUCUAUAUUAUGAAAAUAACUACUUAUUCUACAUAGCCCCACUCUUAAUU